UACGUAGGGUGCGAGCGUUGUCCGGAAUUAUUGGGCGUAAAGAGCUCGUAGGCGGUGUGUCACGUCGGCCGUGAAAACCUGCAGCUUAACUGUGGGCGUGCGGUCGAUACGGGCAUCACUGGAGUUCGGCAGGGGAGACUGGAAUUCCUGGUGUAGCGGUGAAAUGCGCAGAUAUCAGGAGGAACACCGGUGGCGAAAGCGGGUCUCUGGGCCGAUACUGACGCUGGAGGAGCGGAAAGCGUGGGGAGCAAACAGG
rnacentral:rRNA from 1 species